rnacentral:tRNA from 1 species
GGGAGCGAAUGGGUCCUGGUGGGCUCCCGGGCCUUCAAAGCCUGUGUCGGGCGUCUCGUGGCGUCCGAGGUGGGUUCGAUUCCCACGCGUUCCCGCCA